GGGGCCGUAAUGGUUUCGACGGGGAGGUUGCAGCAUGAAUAGCGGGUAGCAGUGGGGGACCUGCUUUAAAAGCCUCCAAAACAAUAGCUAACAAUAACGAAUUAGCAAUCGCUGCCUAAGGCAGCUGGUGCGCCUGCUCAACCGCUGUGCAGGGCCGUGCCAUCAUUUAAGCGGUGAACGUGACCAGCCCAAAGCUUUGAGGGCAGGCAUGUAAGUAUGAAGCUACCGAAGCAGCAGCCCGUUUACCGGCUUGCUGUGGGGGGAACCUUGUAGGUGAACUGCACCCGGAGAAGUUCUUGUGAAUGCCUUUUCGGACGCGGGUUCAAUUCCCGCCGGCUCCACCA
rnacentral:sRNA from 1 species